AGAGCGAACGCUGGCGGCGUGCUUAACACAUGCAAGUCGAACGCGCAGCAUUCUGUAGCAAUACAGGAUGUGGGCGCGUGGCGAACGGGUGCGUAACACGUGGAUAACCUUCCUUCAGGUGGGGAAUAACCCAGCGAAAGUUGGGCUAAUACCGCAUAAAAUUACGAGGGUACAUGCUCUUGUAUUCAAAGGCGCAAGUCGCCAGAAGAGGGAUCCGCGGCCGAUUAGCUUGUUGGCGAGGUAAUGGCUCACCAAGGCGAAGAUCGGUA
rnacentral:rRNA from 1 species